CCUACGGGACGCACCAGUGGGGAAUAUUGCACAAUGGGCGCAAGCCUGAUGCAGCCAUGCCGCGUGUAUGAAGAAGGCCUUCGGGUUGUAAAGUACUUUCAGCGAGGAGGAAGGCAUUAAGGCUAAUAACCUUGUCGAUUGACGUUACCCGCAGAAGAAGCACCGGCUAACUCCGUGCCAGCAGCCGCGGUAAUACGGAGGGUGCAAGCGUUAAUCGGAAUUACUGGGCGUAAAGCGCACGCAGGCGGUCUGUAAAGUCGGAUGUGAAAUCCCCGGGCUCAACCUGGGAACUGCAUUCGAAACUGGCAGGCUAGGGUCUUGUAGAGGGGGGUAGAAUUCCAGGUGUAGCGGUGAAAUGCGUAGAGAUCUGGAGGAAUACCGGUGGCGAAGGCGGCCCCCUGGACAAAGACUGACGCUCAGGUGCGAAAGCGUGGGGAGCAAACAGGAUUAGAUACCCUCGUAGUC
rnacentral:rRNA from 1 species